UACGUCAGCGGCAGACGGGUGAGUAACGCGUGGGAACGUACCUUUUGGUUCGGAACAACACAGGGAAACUUGUGCUAAUACCGGAUAAGCCCUUACGGGGAAAGAUUUAUCGCCGAAAGAUCGGCCCGCGUCUGAUUAGCUAGUUGGUAGGGUAAUGGCCUACCAAGGCGACGAUCAGUAGCUGGUCUGAGAGGAUGAUCAGCCACAUUGGGACUGAGACACGGCCCAAACUCCUACGGGAGGCAGCAGUGGGGAAUAUUGGACAAUGGGGGCAACCCUGAUCCAGCCAUGCCGCGUGAGUGAUGAAG
rnacentral:rRNA from 1 species